CCGCGGGAGGUGGACGAAGCGUGGGCCAGGACAGGCGCCUGGCACUGGGGUUUCAGAGCCGCGAGUAGGCCCUGAAGGCCGGGAGGGACCGCCAGUCCCCACUGGAAGCCGCUUCCGUGCAGCCCGGGACAGAGUUUCAGAAUUUGGCAAAAGUCUCAAGGCUCAAGCUGGUUGUCUGAAGCCUUUCAAACCCCCAGUUUUAUCACCACAUAUGAGAGGUCCCAGCACCAACCGCACCAGCCACAGGACUCCUCUUCUCGGUGGUACAACCAGCAGCUUCCAGGCCCAGCCACAUAUCCAGAGCUUGGGGAUCAGGUAUAGAGAGCCAAUCCCCUGGGAACCCAUGCAUUAGUCCCAGGGGGCCUCUCCUCCAAGCGCCUACAUUCUGGAAAAGCCUCAAGUUUCUACAGUCAUGAUACCUGGGAAACUCAGUGCUCCCUUUUGGAUUUUUCUUAGCCCUUCAACACCUAUGUAAAUCUGCAUGAAAUUUCCACUGUUUGAAUAGAGUGUCAUUCCCUGCUGAGCCCUAACUGAUACGCUGUGUUUCCAGUGUCCCUCAUCCACUAGACUCAGUGGUGUCAGGAAUGGUGUGGUAUUUUGUUAUAAAUUUAACUCCUUAGAUGGACACACAGAGAGCCUCGAUAAAUAUUUUUAAUCCAUCAAUGCAAGGAGUGUGGUUGUCAGAAGUCAGCUAAAAGUCCAAGUUUAAAUCUAAGCUCCGCCGUUCACAGCUUGGGUGACCUCAGCUUCUUUUUUGGAAAUGAAGUUCAUAUUUUCCGAGCACUUUUUCUGUGCCAGGUGCUUCCAAAUGUAUCUCGUUUAAUCCUCACAACAUACCUCAGAGGAAGACAUCAUUUUUACAAGUAAGGAAAUAGAGGCUCAGAGAGAUGAAGUGGUUGACCCGGGCUGUCUAUCUUGUAAAUGGUGGGCUGUGAUUCCCACACGACUGGAGUUUCUGGAGUCAGAGGCUGCCUGGAGUCAGGGGCUGCCUGACUCCAGAAACCAUUUUCUGUGCAUUUCAUGUAGCUCCACCUCAAUUGCCUUCCUUUCCUCAUCUGCAGACUGAUUAAAUAAAAUGUAUAAUUUGGAUGAAAUUUGAUAAAUAAUUCUGAAUGCAUUCUUUUUUAGAAUAAAUUAUCUGCAGUUCAGUACUUUAUUCUUACUAAUAAAUUCCAAGCAACACUCCUACUCACGGGCCUGGCCCUUCCCAUGCAUUUUCUUUUCUUGCUUUUUUUUUUUUUUUUUGAGAUGGAGUCUCGCUCUGUCACCCAUACUGAAGUGCAGUGGGGCCAUCUCGGCUCACUGCAAGCUCUGCCUCCCAGGUUCAAACAAUUCUCCUGCCUCAGCCUCCCGUGUAGCUGGGAUUACAGGGAUGUACUACCAUGUCCGGCUAAUUUUUGUAUUUUUAUUAGAGACAGGGUUUCACCAUGUUGGCCAGGCUGGUCUCGAACUCCUGACCUCAAGUGAUCUGUGCACCUCAGCCUCCCAAAGUGCUGGGAUUACAGGCAUGAGCCACCGCGCCCAGCCCCCAUACGUUUUCUCGCUGGCCAUGCUGUGCACCGUCUACUAAGUUGCCAUGGCUGCCUGGCCAUCUGACUUGUCACCCUCUCAUCCCUGACCUGACCCCAGUGUGUCUGCUUUUGCAGGGCCAAGGGGUCAGAUUCUUCUGCAGAGGACAGCCCUGUGAGGUCCAGGUUACGGACUCCUGCUCAAGCACAUGUAGGAUGCCAGCCUGAUGGUGUCUGGGUCCUUCAGUAGUAUUCAUGGCAGCCUGCUGAACUCUGCCUUCCAAGAUCCAGUUUAUAUUUUAGGGCCCCAAUGUAAAUGUUGCAAAGUCUUUCCCAUUUCCCCUGCCUCAGAACAGCAGCAUGGAAAGCCUAGAAUGGAAAAAGAGAAUGAGCCCAAACCCAGCAGCUCAGGCCAGGAGGCAUGCCUGUUCCACAUCACUCCACGUGGCUUUGUGUUUGUUGCCUCCACAUCUGUUCCAACCCAGCUAGGCUGGUGCAGAAGGAGCCCAGGGGGUCCUGCUUAUCACUGAAUUCCUUUACUGAUGCAUUGUUUUAAAGAGAAAAAAUCCCCAUGAAAGGUCCACCACAGGAACUGGGGACCUCUCAAUGAUCCCAAUAGGUAAGGAAGACUCAUUUGCAGUGAGCUCCAGGGGACCUUUCUACAACUCACAGUGACCAGUGGGAAUAGGACACACAAGGUGAUGCCAAGCCUGGCACAACAGCUGAGUACCUUGACUCGUCCCAAAUCCCAGAGUAAAUGUAGGGCACCUGAGGCAGCUGCCAAGGGACAGAUGUCCUUCAGAGCAGUUCUGGACAAGGCCCUCAUUUAUUUCUCUCUGUCACCUGCCCCUCUCUCUCUUUAAAAACCUAGGCAUUUUGUCUUCUUUUCCUCAUUUUUGUCCUACACAGGAACAUGAGAGCCACCUGGUGGAAGGUUUUAUUAGCAUGGAGGACGAGGGAGAGUUUGGCAGCUUGGCAGAGCUGCAGGUUGUGGAGAAGCAGCUGAGACAACAGCCCUGAGAGAGGAGAUCUGUGCUUCCCUGGAGCACAGGGCAGGUUGACACAUCAGCUGCGGAACAGUAUCUGGACCAGAAGCCUUUGCUCACUGUGAGAGACAGGCCGGGUCACUUACUUGCUCACCGCACAUGGGGGCUGAGUGGUGGCUGUUACAGAUCCAUGGAGGCCAGUGGUUGAGGCUCUGAAGGGGACAUGGCUGUCGCUGUGGGAG
rnacentral:lncRNA from 1 species